rnacentral:rRNA from 1 species
CCAAAAUAUAUGUUAAGUGGAAAAGGAUGUGGCGUUGCCCAGACAACUAGGAUGUUGGCUUAGAAGCAGCCAUCAUUUAAAGAGUGCGUAAUAGCUCACUAGUCGAGUGACACUGCGCCGAAAAUGUACCGGGGCUAAACAUAUUACCGAAGCUGUGGAUUGUCCUUUGGACAAUGGUAGGAGAGCGUUCUAAGGGCGUUGAAGCAUGAUCGUAAGGACAUGUGGAGCGCUUAGAAGUGAGAAUGCCGGUGUGAGUAGCGAAAGACGGGUGAGAAUCCCGUCCACCGAUUGACUAAGGUUUCCAGAGGAAGGCUCGUCCGCUCUGGGUUAGUCGGGUCCUAAGCUGAGGCCGACAGGCGUAGGCGAUGGAUAACAGGUUGAUAUUCCUGUACCACCUAUAAUCGUUUUAAUCGAUGGGGGGACGCAGUAGGAUAGGCGAAGCGUGCGAUUGGAUUGCACGUCUAAGCAGUAAGGCUGAGUAUUAGGCAAAUCCGGUACUCGUUAAGGCUGAGCUGUGAUGGGGAGAAGACAUUGUGUCUUCGAGUCGUUGAUUUCACACUGCCGAGAAAAGCCUCUAGAUAGAAAAUAGGUGCCCGUACCGCAAACCGACACAGGUAGUCAAGAUGAGAAUUCUAAGGUGAGCGAGCGAACUCUCGUUAAGGAACUCGGCAAAAUGACCCCGUAACUUCGGGAGAAGGGGUGCUCUUUAGGGUUAACGCCCAGAAGAGCCGCAGUGAAUAGGCCCAAGCGACUGUUUAUCAAAAACACAGGUCUCUGCUAAACCGUAAGGUGAUGUAUAGGGGCUGACGCCUGCCCGGUGCUGGAAGGUUAAGAGGAGUGGUUAGCUUCUGCGAAGCUACGAAUCGAAGCCCCAGUAAACGGCGGCCGUAACUAUAACGGUCCUAAGGUAGCGAAAUUCCUUGUCGGGUAAGUUCCGACCCGCACGAAAGGCGUAACGAUUUGGGCACUGUCUCAACGAGAGACUCGGUGAAAUCAUAGUACCUGUGAAGAUGCAGGUUACCCGCGACAGGACGGAAAGACCCCGUGGAGCUUUACUGUAGCCUGAUAUUGAAAUUCGGCACAGCUUGUACAGGAUAGGUAGGAGCCUUUGAAACGUGAGCGCUAGCUUACGUGGAGGCGCUGGUGGGAUACUACCCUAGCUGUGUUGGCUUUCUAACCCGCACCACUUAUCGUGGUGGGAGACAGUGUCAGGCGGGCAGUUUGACUGGGGCGGUCGCCUCCUAAAAGGUAACGGAGGCGCUCAAAGGUUCCCUCAGAAUGGUUGGAAAUCAUUCAUAGAGUGUAAAGGCAUAAGGGAGCUUGACUGCGAGACCUACAAGUCGAGCAGGGUCGAAAGACGGACUUAGUGAUCCGGUGGUUCCGCAUGGAAGGGCCAUCGCUCAACGGAUAAAAGCUACCCCGGGGAUAACAGGCUUAUCUCCCCCAAGAGUUCACAUCGACGGGGAGGUUUGGCACCUCGAUGUCGGCUCAUCGCAUCCUGGGGCUGUAGUCGGUCCCAAGGGUUGGGCUGUUCGCCCAUUAAAGCGGUACGCGAGCUGGGUUCAGAACGUCGUGAGACAGUUCGGUCCCUAUCCGUCGUGGGCGUAGGAAAUUUGAGAGGAGCUGUCCUUAGUACGAGAGGACCGGGAUGGACAUACCUCUGGUGUACCAGUUGUCGUGCCAACGGCAUAGCUGGGUAGCUAUGUGUGGACGGGAUAAGUGCUGAAAGCAUCUAAGCAUGAAGCCCCCCUCAAGAUGAGAUUUCCCAACUUCGGUUAUAAGAUCCCUCAAAGAUGAUGAGGUUAAUAGGUUCGAGGUGGAAGCAUGGUGACAUGUGGAGCUGACGAAUACUAAUCGAUCGAAGACUUAAUCAA